rnacentral:rRNA from 1 species
UGGUGGAGCGAUUUGUCUGGUUAAUUCCGAUAACGAACGAGACUCUAGCCUGCUAAAUAGACGGGCGAUCCCUUGUGGGUCGAUCCGAUUUGCUUCUUAGAGGGACAAGUGGCGUUCCUAACCACGCGAAAUUGAGCAAUAACA